AGAGUUUGAUCCUGGCUCAGGAUUAACGCUUGCGGUGUGCUUUAUGCAUGCAAGUCGAACGGUUCUUCGCAAGAAGGACAGUGGCGAACGGGUGCGUAACACGUAAGUGACCUGCCCUCAAGUGGGGAAUAAUCCUUCGGAAGAAGGACUAAUACCGCAUGUGGUCCUUCCCGUAAGGGGAAGGACUAAAGUCGUAAGGCGCUUGAGGAGGGGCUUGCGUCCGAUUAGCUAGUUGGUAGGGUAACGGCCUACCAAGGCGAUGAUCGGUAGCUGGUCUGAGAGGAUGACCAGCCACACUGGGACUGAGACACGGCCCAGACUCCUACGGGAGGCAGCAGCAAGGAAUAUUGCGCAAUGGGCGAAGGCCUGACGCAGCGACACCGCGUGGGGGAUGAAGGCCCUCGGGUCGUAAACCCCUUUUCUUAGGGAAGAAUAAUGACGGUACCUGAGGAAUAAGUCGCUGCUAACUACGUGCCAGCAGCAGCGGUAAUACGUAGGCGACGAGCGUUAUCCGGAUUUAUUGGGCGUAAAGCGCGUGUAGGUGGCUUUUCAAGUCGGAUGUGAAAUCUCCCGGCUUAACUGGGAGGAGUCAUUCGAUACUGUUAGGCUAGAGGGCAGCAGAGGGAGGUGGAAUUCCCGGUGUAGUGGUGAAAUGCGUAGAUAUCGGGAGGAACACCAGUGGCGAAAGCGACCUCCUAGGCUGUUCCUGACGCUGAGGCGCGAAAGCGUGGGGAGCAAACACGAUUAGAUACCCUGGUAGUCC
rnacentral:rRNA from 1 species